rfam:Ovis aries breed Texel chromosome 3, whole genome shotgun sequence.
UCCCUGGUGGUUCAGUGGCUAAGAUUCUAUGCUUCCAAUGUAGGGGGUCCAGGUUCAAACCCUGGUCAGGGAA